GGCCUCCUGGUGUUUACUACAGGUUAUAUUCUUACAUUGACUGUAUAGAAAGUGGAGGCAUAGUAAACCUACACGAUAUGCACAGCAGCCCAGGCUCUGUGCUUGGUAUUUAUGGUGCAUGGGGAGACAUGG